rnacentral:tRNA from 1 species
GAGGGUAUAGCUCAGCUGGUAGAGCAGCGGCCUUUUAAGCCGUUGGCCGAGGGUUCGAAUCCCUCUACCCUCACAA